AUUAUGCAUUGAAACGAUUAUAUACGAAUUCCAGUGUUAUAUGCGACUUUCGGUAGAUUCAAGUAUAGGCCCCCUCCAUGAAAUUUCAAAUAAUACAUCCACAAAUUACUGAAACGUGCACUUGUUAUGUAUAUGUAUAUAUGAUAAAAUGGUAAAUGCUAAAUGUUAUUUAAAAUAUCAAAUAUCUCUUGAGCACCCCCUGAAACGGCUUUUUUCUAACCUCAUCUGUCAGCCUAUCCAUCACCACAUUACGUACGUUUACAAUAUGACUCUAUAUAGUGCUGUAUGCAAAAUUUUGUUUCAAUACAUCAAUUUUCCAUUAUACUUGUCGUUCUAGUACUUUUUGAUAUUUUUCAUUUUCUUUUUUUACCACAAGUGCUAAACAAAAUAUUUGUUUUGUUAUGCAAAAUGCAUUGCUAUUGUGACCAAUAGAGAUUAUUUCUACAGUUUUAGGAUCUGGUCCUUGUGUUGUCCUCCCAUUGUGUUUAAUGACUCUUCAGUGGUGUGUUUUUUUUGUACGUUUGACAUUCAGUGUGUGCGUGUGUGCAUGCGUGCGUGUGUGUGUGAGCGAGAGAGAGAGAGAGAGACAUGAAAGUAUAUAUUUUCUUUCGUGCCUCUCUGUCUGACUCCCAAUCACUCCCAACAUCUCAUCGUAUUUAUCACUUUCUUACAUUUAUCUAUUACCUUCUGAACAGGUGUUGCCAACCUUAAUCUAUCGUCAAGUCAGAAAUUUUAAUUAAAUUGAAAUUCUAUAAUUUUAACUUUAAUCUACCAUCAUUUUUUUCCAGAGUAAAAAUGUUGUCUUUGGUUUCUUAACGCAAAAUUUAAAUCCCCAUUUGUAUGAACAGUCCUCUACUUUUUUAAAUAGCUUCAGGUAUUUUCCUUACAAUAAACUCCAGAUUCUUUCCUCUUUUCCAAAUUGCUCCAUCAUCAGCAAAGAGUGAUGCACUCAUCUCAUUCCCUUUUCCCCAAAACACAUCAUUUAUCAUUCAUGAAAAUAGCAGAGGACUAAUAAUACUUCCUUGCGGUGUUCCAUUAUCUAUAAUAUAGUUACUUGAAUAUUUCUUUCCGAUUCUAACGAUUCUAAAAAAAAAAUCCUUAGUCCAUCUAUAAUUUUCCCCUCUAAUCCCAUAUCCAUAAUCUCUUUUAAUUCCAUUUAUUCUUAUAACUUUCUACAUUUUAUCAGUAUUAGUUUCCCUUCCCACUGUGUGACAAAAAGAUUUACGCUAGUCUCUUUUUGCAUCCUUUAUAGUUCUUCUUAACGGCACUUGUUUACAUUAGUAUUCAAUUCAUUUCUGAUAGCUAUGAUUUCUUUUUAUUUCUUAAAUUUAAAGGCUUUAUUCCUAUUGCACUUUUACAUUCUUUUGUCCACUAGGGUACAAUUUUCCUUUUGUGCUCACCUCCCUUCUUCUGAAUGGACAACAACACUGCUUCUAGAAUACGUAGACUUACACUUUGAUUUAAAUGCUCAACAUUCAUUUUUAUUGAUUCAUAUCCAUUGUUUGCAGCGGCACGGUGGCCGACUGGUUAGAGCGUCAGCCUCACAGUUCUGAGGACCCGGGUUCAAUCCCCGGCCCCUCCUGUGUGGAGUUUGCAUGUUCUCCCCGUGCCUGCGUGGGUUUUCUCCGGGUACUCCGGUUUCCUCCCACAUCCCAAAAAACAUGCAUGAAUUGGAGACUCUAAAUUGCCCGUAGGCAUGACUGUGAGUGCGAAUGGUUGUUUGUUCCUAUGUGCCCUGCGAUUGGCUGGCAACCAGUUGAGGGUGUACCCCGCCUCCUGCCCGAUGACAGCUGGGAUAGGCUCCAGCACGCCCGCGACCCUAGUGAGGAGAAGCGGCUCAGAAAAUGGAUGGAUGGAUGGAUCCAUUGUUUGCUUUUUUCCCACAGUUAUAUCGGAAUUUCGCCCAAUUAGCAUCAUGAAAAUACCACUUUUGAUUCCUAUCUCACUUUUUGCUAAAUUCACAAAAACUUUGAAAAUUAAUGGAUAACGGUCCCUACCUGUAGUUGUUCUCUUAAUUACCACCCACUCAGACAGAACAGCCUGAUACUGUUAAAGGUACAGUACAAGUUUUUUUUCAUCUCUAUCAUUUCUUCCACUACUAUUCCAUUGUCAUAAUAUUUGCUAUCCCAUAAUGUAAUAUAUGCACUAAAAUCAGCACACCAUAUCAUCCUACCUGUCAUGUACAUAACCAUUACAACCAUUAGUCUCCUCCCUGAUGGCGGCAGACUGAAGAGGCUGUGUGAUGGAUGGGUGGCAUCCCCUGCUAUGCGAAGGGCUUUGUGGGAGAGGCGGGUGCUGUAAAUGUCCUGCAGGGAGGGGAGAGAGGUUCCGAUGAUCUUCUCAGCUGCCCUCACUAUGCGAUGGAGAGUCUUGCGCCAGGAUGCGGGGCAGGCACCGUACCGCACAGUGAUGCAGUUGGUCAGGAUGCUCUCUAUGGUCCCUCUGUAGAAUGAGCACAUGAUGGAGGUCGGGGCUCUGGCUCUUCUCAGCUUGCGCAGGAAGUAGAGACGCUGGUGUUGCUGGUCCAGGAGAGGUCCUCGGUGAUGUGCACUGCCAGGAACUUGGUGCUGCGCACUCUGUCAAGGCUGCUGUUUCAGCACCCUGAGUCCAGCGCGUGUGUGUGUGUGUGUGUGUGUGUGUGUCAUGAGUGCUUUGCAGGGUUGACGUGUUGGAGUCUAGGAGUUGCACCUUGCCAUCCUAAUUACACCUGACUGCUCUUAAGACUCUGUGGGACUCCAAGUCGUCGUCAGACUAUCAACGCUCGAUGUCGAUCUGCCGUUUGCCUUUGCUGCCCGCAAACCAGCGUUCACCUCUUGUGGCCCACCGUCAACCCGGACUCGAACCCUACCAGACUGGUUCUCCUUGGAACCCUGCUAAUCCUGGAUCUAGUUCUCGGAGGCCUUUUUGUUUGCUUCCAAGCUGCAAUAAACCUUUAUUCACAAACUCACGUCCCUGUGCUCUCUGCAUCUGGGUCCAACUUGCAACCUGAAUCCUGACAGCAUAGUCCUGCCCGUCAUGGCCCCAUCGGAGACAGAUCCCCUUCGCCAAACAGUUACCUGACAGAGCAUGCUUUUGGACCAACACGGCCAAGCCCCUCACCCUGCUGACGUGACUUCUCACAAGCUCUCACAUCCCUCCAAAAUCAAUUUGCCUCACUCCAACCUUGCGCACAUGUGAGCGCUGUCGUGGGCCACGGCGGAAUGGGAGAAACGCUCAGCCGUCUGUGCAUCAUACUCUUCUUUUUCCCUGGAGAUGAAGAUUCUUGACCACCCGGUGCGCGGGAGGGAGGCCGCUAAACGGCUGAUGUCACUCCUGAAGUCUGCAACAAUCUCCUUGUGUUCAGGGUGUAGCCCGCCUCCUGCCUGAAGAUAGCUGGGAUAGGCUCCAGCAGCCCGCAACCCUAGUGAGGAGAAGCGGUCAGGAAAAUGGAUGGAUACUACCUUCUUUUGUUAACAUUUAUAUUACUUUAUAUUUUAUUUAUCCCUGUAUCCCUAUAAUGCGAUAUUGUAUAACUUGUUUUAUAACAAUCGCACAUCCGCGUCCACUCCUGUCCUCUCGAUCUCUUUUAAUGUUCUUUCACUUCAUUCGCUACACACUUUCACAACAUAAUGAAACGAAACACAUUCUGUCUGUAGUCUGAAGUGGUGUAAAAUGGACAUGUUUGUAAUAUUUUCAUUACAUGAGAUAGGCAAGGAACAUAACAGACAUCAAUCACAAAGACAUACAUAAGGGCUGAAGUUUUUUGGGUUUUUUUUCUCAUGAGAUUUUGCAGGUGUACUCAAAUAGUCCAAACUGCAACAUCUUAAAUUUAACCAGUGGUUAUUGCAUAAUCCUUGUAAUCCAUGCACUAUAUUGCCCUACAAGUCACAUGGGGUCACAUGGGUGAGGGCAGUCAUAUGAUUCAGGCACAUAUGGAGUCUAUCCUGCAGUUGCAUUCCUUGUACUCUCUGAUUAUUGCCGAUACAUUAAGAAUGCUUCAGUUUGCAACAUUCUUCAUGUGUUUGUAUAUUUUAAAUGUGUAAAACCUUUGGGCUCGCCAUGUAAAUGCUGAACAGCAAAAUGUUGGGAGUGGGACUCUUGGACUCUUAUUGAAUUAUUUUUUUUUUUUUUCCAUCGGAAAUAAAGCAUAGCCUUCCCAAGCAAUCUGCAACCAAUUUGCAGAGAAGACCCACCCUUGCAUAUUUAAGACGCCAAGGACAAGAGAGCCAGUGUACUGGAUUGUUUUACUUCUGGAAAAGUACUUCUUUUCCAUACCAAAAUGUACCUUUAACAUAAAACAAGAGAGAGAAAAACAUGAUCUGUGACAAUUUUACCAAAACCACCAAUGAAUCAUUGACUUUCCGUAGCUCUUUAAAAGGCAAAUAACCUGUUUGGUUAACUUAAACGUUAAGCCUUAAAAGGGUUAAGGGUCAACUUAUAUAGGUUGCCAUAUGCCUCAAUCUACUUAGCGACAUGGAGAAGGUGAUUGACCCUACAUACCUUCACUGACUUUGCUCAGAAUGGAAGUAAAAAUGGUCAAAUCCAGCUCUCUGUAUGUGUGUACCCGCUGAAGUCUAUUCGGUGUAAAGUCAAUUUUUUUAUUAUUAGCGAGAGCUAGAGCCCGUUCAGUAUGAGUUCAUCCCUCACCCAUUUGCUUUCAAAGGGGUGAAGAAAUGAUAUUUUCAUUCACGGCAUUGACUUUGCGCUAGAAUGCAGAAUCACAAAAAUACGACAUACAGUAAAAGGCAUUACCUCAAUGUACGCUUUAUGAACAAAAAUACCUCGCCUGAAUCCAUUUUUAUCUAAUAACAUUAUAAAAACCUAAACAAUGUAAAUUAAAUUUACCACACUCACCAGAGGUACUGAUUAUUAAAGAUAUGUGUGCAGAAUGCUGCAGACGUAGUUUGCUAAUCAAACUUGCCUGUACCAAAUGUACACAUCUGCACGUCUCCAGUAAAGUAAGCAUCAAUUAAAUAUCGCCGACCACCGCUAGUUAGGAUCCAUAACAGGUGGUUUGGAUAGAGGGAGGAUGGAAACAGCUGCUGGUACUCUUUCAAUCGCUUUACUGAACGAACGGUAACAAAAUACAGUAAACACAAGCAAAUUCUUGCCGACCUGCGAUGACCUCAACUGACGCUGUCGUUCUGCACACACAGCGGCUAAGGCUAAAGUCAGUAAAUAGUCAUUUGCUGACUUCCACGUCACUCAACAGGCCAGCCCCCCCUAAAAGUACACAUUUAAAGUACACUUUGGAUGUCACAGUAUUUCAUGGAAUGAGGGAAUUGCGAUCCCAAGUGUACAAAGAUAAUACCUGUACCUCACUUGCAUAUAUUGAUUGUUGGUAAUACAGCAUGUGCAUGAAGCUAUGAAAUAUAUAUUCUUGGUGCUACUUCACGAUUUCGGCUAUUGUGGACGUGACCUGGAAGAUAACGCCCUCGAUAAACGAGGGAUUACUGAAGACAAAUCUAACAUCCACAUACACGACUGGAUUCAGAAUGCUACAAAAUGAGGAGAAUAGACUUUUGGGAAUAAAUUAAUAAAACAAAUAUGGAA